CAUGUGCGAUGAACUGGACGAUCACAACGGCGAUACUGAGAUCACGUCAAUUCUUGCAGCCCUGUUCUUCCUACAACACCUGCCAAAUGCAUCCCCAACAGUGCGGACUUCUGGCCUUGAAGCCUUUCAUGGUGUCAUGAUACAUUAUGCUCCAAAAAGCAGCAAAUUCACUUCUGAUGGCACGCAGGAAAGAACACAAAAUGCAGCUGUUCACUUUAAUGAGUACAGUAGCAGGACUACAAUGACAGAUGUGAACGGGGUUCAAGGAAUCUCGCAGAAAUUUUCUCAGCGUGAAAAGGAGUGGACCAUUGUGCCACUGAAA